rnacentral:rRNA from 1 species
UACGUAGGGUCCGAGCGUUGUCCGGAAUUAUUGGGCGUAAAGGGCUCGUAGGCGGUUCGUCACGUCGGGAGUGAAAACUCGGGGCUUAACCCCGAGCCUGCUUCCGAUACGGGCAGACUAGAGGUAGGCAGGGGAGAGCGGAACUCCUGGUGUAGCGGUGGAAUGCGCAGAUAUCAGGAAGAACACCGGUGGCGAAGGCGGCUCUCUGGGCCUUACCUGACGCUGAGACACGAAAGCGUGGGUAGCAAACAGG